AUCAUCUUGGCAAGCUGAGAUCCUCUACAGCUAGCCCUGUUUGUAAAUUGGACAUCUUGCAGAGAGAUAGCUGAAGGAAAGGGAACAUGGAGGAGGAAGAGCAUGAGGUGUACGGAGGCGAUAUCCCGGACAUGGCGGAGAUGGAAGGAGACAUGGAUUCUCACCAUGCCGAUGUCGAUAUGUCUGCUGCUGACGACGAUGCCGUCAAGGAACUGGACGAGAUGAAGAAGAGAUUGAAGGAAAUGGAAGAGGAAGCGGCAGCUCUCCGUGAAAUGCAAGCCAAGGUCGAGAAGGAGAUGGGUGCAGUUCAAGAUCCUGGAAGUGCAGCUGCGUCUCAGGCAAGCAAGGAGGAGGCAGAUUCUCGAUCUGUUUUUGUUGGCAAUGUUGAUUAUGCAUGCACACCCGAAGAAGUUCAGCAACACUUCCAAUCAUGUGGGACAGUGAAUAGGGUGACUAUUCUUACAGACAAGUUUGGUCAUCCAAAAGGUUUUGCUUAUGUGGAAUUCCUGGAACCUGAAGCUGUCCAGGAGGCUAUUGUCUUGAAUGAAUCUGAGUUGCAUGGUCGUCAAUUGAAGGUUAUGCCAAAGAGGACCAAUGUCCCUGGAAUGAAACAGUAUCGCCCCGGCCGUUUCACUCCUUACAUGCCGUAUCGCUUCAGGAGGCCAUUCCCUUCGCCUUACUUUUACUCACCUUAUGGAUAUGGCUCUCGUCACACCUCAAAUGCUGGUUUUUCAUCAAUUAAUGAAGCCUUUUAUGCCACUCCUAAGACUGUUGUAGAUGAAUCUUGGUAUUUGGACAAAGGGGCAACAACUCACGUGACCAAUGAUGCUUCUCGUUUGAACAACUCAGUCCCUAAUGGUGCAGGUUUUAUUAACAAAAAGAAAGUUCCUGAAGGUGUUAAUAUUGGUCCAAAGGUCUUCACAACCCUACUCUUUGGUGUUCCCACUACUUGUUCAUUCUCCUCAAGUCAGCACUAAUGUCGUUGCUAAGCCAGAGAAUAAUUUUCCCAAUUGUCCGGAUUCACGAUCCAUUGAGCAUAACUCUGCAAGAAAUUUAGGAAUGUCAGUACACACUGAUUCUACUGAAGCUUCUCAAUCUAUGCCAUCAAAUGAUAUGAUAUCACAAGAUGAUGAUUGAAGUACAAAUAAUUCAACAGCAUCAGAGACUAUCACUCCAGCAUUAGAAAAUCAAACUACAACUCAUAAUAGGCAUCCAAUGGUAACAAGAAGUAAGGCAGGUGUCUUUAAGCCUAAAACUCAAUUUAUUGGGCUUACUAAAUCCUCAUUUGAUGAUUUUUCAGAACCUCAAACUAUUUCUGCAGCAUUACAAUCAAAGUUGUGGAAGAAAGCUAUGACAGAUGAGUUCAAUGCUCUUGUUACUGACAAGACCUGGGUUCUUGUUCCUUUUAUAGGAAAGGAAAAACCCGUUGAUUGCAAAUGGGUUUUUAAGACUAAAGUGAAUUCUGAUGGAUCUUUCUCACGGGCAAAAGCAAGAUUAGUAGCAAAAAGGUUUCAACAACAUCGUGGGAUUGACUAUGAGGAAACAUUUAGUCCAGUCUUGAAACUUGUCACUUUAAGGCUUAUUCUUAAUAUUGUUGGGUGUUUCAAAUGGCCAGUUAGACAACUUGAUAUAAAUAAUGCGCUUCUCAAUGGUUAUCUACAAGAAAGAGUUUACAUGAAACAACCUGAGGGUUUUGCUGAUAGAAGGUAUCUUAACGCUAUUUGUCUGCUUAACAAAGCUAUUUAUGGUUUAAAGCAAGCACCUAUGGCUUGGUUUGAAAGAUUGAAGAGCACACUUUCUAACUGGAAUUUUAAACAUUCAUAGUGUGACACUUCUUUAUUCUUCUACAAAAUAAUGACUAGCAUUAUGUUUGUCCUUAUUUAUGUAGAUGACAUUAUUAUCACAGGGAACAACUCAGUAAUGCUCAAAGAAUUUGUCAGACAACUAAAUUCAAUAUUUGCUCUUAAGGAUUUGGGUUGUCAUUAUCAUUUCCUAGGCAUUGAAAUCUAUCGAGACACUACAGGUUUGUACUUAAAACAAGAGAAUUGUAUUCUUGAACUACUCAAGAAAUGUGGAAUGACUAAUUGCUCACCAGUGCCAACACCGAUGGUGGUUAAUAAACUUCUCUCAAUUGAUGGAGUUCCUCUUGCAAAUCCCACUACUUACAGACAUUUAAUUGGGGCUCUACAAUAUUUGAUUAAUGUCAAGCUAGAGCCUAGAUAUCUUGUUUGUAGUAAAUAAGCUUAGUCAAUUUCUUCAUCAAUCAACAGAUCAGCAUUGGCACGCAAUCAAACGUGUACUCAGAUACUUAAAAGGCAUAGCAGUUCUGAUGCUUCAGAUUAAACCAAGUGAGCGUUUUACUCUCGGAUUCUGAUUAGGCUAUCUGUGUGGAUGACCGUCGCUCAAUUGGAGGGUAUUGUGUUUUUCUUGGUGAUUCCUUGGUUGCAUGGUCGGGGAAGAAGCAGAAAGUUGUCACACGGUCAAGCACUGAUUCAGAGUAUCGUGCUCUGUUUGACCUCACGAUGGAAUUUGCUUGGUUACAGUCGAUUCUUAUUGAAAUUGGCUUCAAGCUUUCUCAGAUUCUGAUUGCGUGGUGUGAUAAUUUGAGUGCAUUUGCUUAAGCCUUCGAUCCGGUCUUCCACUCUUGGACAAAGCACUUUGAGUUGGAUGUUCACUUUGUUCGUGAACGACUGAUGUCUUGCCAGAUGUUCGUCAACUAUGUGCCAUCCGCAGAUUAGAUUGCAGACUUAUUUACAAAGGCCCUUUCUCAUUCUAGGCUUUUAGACCUCAGAAAUAAACUCAGCUUGGUUAGACAGACGCCCAGCCCCUCGUUUAAGGGGGAAGGUUCCCAGGUUCAGAAGACCAACUCGGUACAUGCCAUAUUAUUAGAAGUCAGUGUGCAAUGAUGUUACAGUUAUGAUGAUGAGCAUCCCAGGACAUUUUUUUGUGUCUCUCAUUUCUAUUAAUUUUCGGAUUUGGUCUGUCAGUGGUUUGAGUUUAGCGUUGCUAUUCACUUCAUCUGCAUCUGCAUGCUAUGGGAUUGUGGAGACUUGUUUUUCUUUGUUGUCACCGGGCUAGUUCCUAAUGUUGUAUGUUGAUUACUUAGAUUAGAACCUGACGCAAAUAGUUCGGUGUUUCAAGUUUCCAUUGAAUAUCAUAUCAUUGUGAGAACCCUUA